rnacentral:rRNA from 1 species
AUUGAACGCUGGCGGCAUGCCUUACACAUGCAAGUCGAACGGUAACAGGGAGCUUGCUCCGCUGACGAGUGGCGAACGGGUGAGUAAUGCGUCGGAACGUGCCGAGUAGUGGGGGAUAACGCAUCGAAAGGUGUGCUAAUACCGCAUACGAACAGAGGAUGACAGUGGGGGGCCUUCGGGCCUCACGCUAUUCGAGCGGCCGACGUCUGAUUAGCUAGUUGGGGAGGUAAAGGAUCACCAAGGCCACGAUCAGUAGCGGGUCUGAGAGGAUGAUCCGCCACACUGGGACUGAGACACGGCACAGACUCCUACGGGAGGCAGCAGUGGGGAAUUUUGGACAAUGGGCGCAAGCCUGAUCCAGCCAUGCCGCGUGUCUGAAGAAGGCCUUCGGGUUGUAAAGGACUUUUGUCCGGGAGCAAAUGCUGGUGGCUAACAUCCACCGGAGCUGAGAGUACCGGAAGAAUAAGCACCGGCUAACUACGUGCCAGCAGCCGCAGUAA